GUUGCUGUUGCUGUGGCUGUCGCUGCCCGUCAGGCUGCCUUCUUUUGUCGUUUCCCAGCGCUGCGCAGGACUUCUCCUGGCGGCGCUGCGGAUCCAGGGGGUCGGCUGCCAGGUACAGGGGUUGAGGCUGGGCAAACGCCGCGAAACUAUCGCUCUUCCCCGUCCCGCUUCCGCGCCUGUCCACCCUGGGUAACGGAACCAGCAUCGCGGUAGGGACAUCCUCGCUAGGCCCGGCCGGACCAUUCCUCAGGGUGGGCCCUUUCCGAAGCCGGGACCGCUCCUGCUUGUCGGCAUCGCUCCCCACAGGCCGACGUCGAGAGGGCCUGCUUUACUCCUCCUCUUUCUCCUCCUUCUCCCGCGGCUUCUGCGCGGAGAGGCGUCGCCCGGGAUCUGGGUUUUGGAAGAAGGAUCUUUGUGGGAAGACAGGGUGAAUUUAUCACAGAGGAAUAACGAGGGAGAGGAGAAAGGUUUCCUAAAGACAAAAAAAAAUGGAGGAAUCUGUAAACCAAAUGCAGCCACUGAAUGAGAAGCAGAUAGCCAAUUCUCAGGAUGGAUAUGUAUGGCAAGUCACUGACAUGAAUCGACUACACCGGUUCUUAUGUUUCGGUUCUGA
rnacentral:lncRNA from 10 species